UCCUUCUUCUAUCUGCAGCCGACGGCUGAGUUUGGACGAGAGCUCAUCUGUGGCCAUUUUCAAACCAGGAAACUAAUAAUCAAGAGACGGACACAUAUGUCUGAUAAACGUUUUACAGCCCAAGAAUACAGAUAUCUGCCAGAGACUUGCUGGUCUGGGCUUUGAAAGCUCUGAGGAGGGGAGGUCCAUGGGGGUUUCCAGACUGUCUGGGGUGUAAUAGCAGGCAAGCAGACAAGGAGGCGAAACAGAUGUCCAGUAUCUUGCAGGUUGAAGCCAGGUGAUUGGGUCCUGAUUCGAGUUCUCCAGAGAAAGAAUUGGAGCUCGCCCCGCUGGGAAGGCCCAUACCAAGUGCUCAUCACCACACCAACUGCCUGUAAGAUAGCCGAAAGACCAUCUUGGAUUCACCAAAGUCACUGCAAGAAAGUGAGUGACAGCCCAGACUCAUAGACGCCGGCACCCCUACCCUCAGGUGAUCUGACUGGUGAAGGGAGGGCUGAUUGGGUAUAUCCCGCCCUCUGCUUCUUGCCAGUAGUCUACUCACCUGAGGACCUAGGUGUGUUUGGUCGCCAUGAAGACGCUUGUUGUCCUCGUGGCUGUCCUCCUACUCCCAGCAGGACUCCUCAUGUUUUUAGAGGAUGGUACAGAAGACGAACAGCACCACCUACGGACGAGAUGGACGCAUGACAAUUCACACCUCCGUGACAUGACACAAGACCACAUUCACCCAUGGAUGAAUAACGCAUGGUACCGCUACGUACAUGACAGAACUAAGGGAGAGCCUAAUAACACUGCAUGUUAUGUCUGCUCCCACAUGCCAUGCACUUCAACACAUCCCACCUUUUAUGGAAACUACAUGAAUAAAACACAAGCCAAGUGCGCUGCCAGCUUCGCGGGCAUUGGCUAUCAACAUAAGAAAAUCAUCAUUGAUGAGACAAGCUCUAUCAUCUAUUCGCUUAACCUUCUUAGUAUCUUUCAGGGACCACCCUGAUACGAGGUAAUCACCGUCGAAAACGCUGGACUUGACAACGGAACGUGUGACCGGCUCUUCUGGAUCAACUUC